rnacentral:lncRNA from 1 species
CAUCAACAUUCCCCUCUUUGCCUCUUCUGCUUCUUCAAUUUCAAAGAUUAUUUGCUGACUCAAACUCUCUUUUUUUUUCUCUAAAAAAAUUUCCUUCAGUUCCCCUCUCCCUUUUUCCAUCGAACUUAUCGCAUCGAAUUUACUUAGUACGAUUUACGUCACGUAAAUAAUGGAAAACAAUCACCAGACACAAAUUCAGACCACUAAAACAUCAAGAUUCAAACGCAUAUGUGUUUUUUGUGGAAGCAGUCCAGGCAAAAAGCCAAGUUAUCAACUUGCUGCUAUUCAACUUGGCAAUCAACUGGUUGAAAGGAACAUCGACUUGGUUUAUGGAGGUGGCAGUGUGGGCUUGAUGGGCCUAGUUUCUCAAUCAGUUUUUAAUGGUGGCCGCCACGUGUUAGGGUAUCUAUUUUUUUAAAAAAAAUUGACAAUUUGUUUUAAAAAUAAAAUAAAAUAAAAUCUUCUCCAUUAAUGUAAAACUCAUUUUUUAAUUUCUUUUUCCCACUUGACAGGGUGAUUCCUAAAACUCUUAUGCCAAGAGAGGUAAUUUUUUUUUUUACCUUUAAUAAUAACAACAAACAUUUUUCUAUAGAUAAUUAUGUUAACAAAUUAAUUGUGACUAGUAUGUAUAUUUGGAUAUAUUAAUAAUGCAUCUAGGUAUAAUUACUUGUACUUAAUUUUUAUCGCAGUCAACUAUAUACUAGUCAAUCUAAUUAGACUGUGAUAAUAUAUGAUAACUUAUAAGUCAAAGUAAGUAAAGUCGUUAAAAUAGACUGAUCUAGUUCAUCUCGGCACUCAAUUUGUAAGCUGGAUAAGCCUAUUUUAACGGCUCUAAAUACUAGAUUCUUUCAAAAUACGAUUCGAUUUUAUUUUUUUAACUCUGUUUUUUAUGAUAUAUAUUUUGUUAAUAUAUAGAUUACUGGAGAAAGUGUUGGAGAAGUAAGAGCAGUGUCUGGGAUGCAUCAAAGAAAAGCAGAAAUGGCAAGACAAGCUGAUGCAUUCAUAGCCUUACCAGGUGGCUAUGGGACAUUGGAAGAGCUCCUAGAAGUCAUCACUUGGGCUCAACUAGGCAUUCAUGAUAAACCAGUACGAUUACUUGUCUUUUACUCAUUUGUUUUUAUUUUAUUUAAUGACAAAUUAGGUUUAAUCACUAAUGACUAAUGAUAUACCCACUAUUUUGCUUUUGUCUUAUUAAUAAGCGCGUAUUAAUUAGUAAAUUACUGUGUCUGAUUGCGAACUUUAAAAGACAGAUAAUAUAGAUUUGAUUCAGAGAAAUUUCGUUUUAAUUAAAGUAGGACCAUAAGAAUUGUUUCUCUAAUGUCAACAAUUAAUAAUUAAUGUAAUUUAAGAUAACUAAUUUAACGUGUGUUUUACGUAAUAUGCAGGUAGGUUUACUUAAUGUAGAUGGCUACUAUAAUUCAUUAUUAUCAUUUAUAGACAAAGCUGUUGAUGAAGGCUUUGUCACACCCUCUGCCCGUCACAUCAUUAUUUCUGCCCCAACUGCCCAAGAACUCAUGUCUAAGCUUGAGGUACAACUCAUCAUUCAUCGGCACGAUAUUACGCAUUUACUGACUUAAAAUCUUGAACUCGUGAAUUCAUAUCAUGCAUCCACCGACUUAAACUCUGGUAAAAAUAUUGAAUUAGCGCAUUCUUAGUAUUUUGAGCUUACAAUUCAUGAUUCAUCAAUGUUCGUAUGAUGAUACUGUGCAUCUUACUACUUAAAAUUUUGAAAUUAACAUCUCGAAUUUACUAUUCAUGAUUCAUUGCAUACAUAUGGUGGUUCAUUGAUUUGAAAUCUUGAAUUAUUGCGCUCGUAUGACGUUACUAUUCAUUUACUGACUUAAAAUCUUGAAUUAGCAUCUGUUAAUAUCUCGAAUUUACAUGUUUGAAUGAUUUUUAUUUAUAGGAUUAUGUACCAAAGCAUAAUGGGGUGGCACCAAAAUUGAGUUGGGAAAUGGAACAACAACUUGGCUACACAACAACAAAAUUGGAAAUUGCUCGUUAAAUAUUCAAAUGAUGGGUAGAUUUAAUAUAUUUAUAGAGAAAAAAUGUAGUAAAUUUCUUUGAAGACUUAAAUUCAACAAUUAUGACUUAAGAUGUUGAAGGGAAAAAGCUUCGGAGAAUUAAUUAAUAUAUAAUUAGUAGCUUUGCAGCACUUUUUACUUGCUGUUUAUAAUUAGUUUUAAGGGGGAAAAAAUAUAGUACGUAAUUAAUUUGUUUAGUGUUGAUUCAUUUUUGUCCAUUAGGCUAAUCAAAUGCCUAAUUAAAACAUGAAAAAAAUGAUGUAGUACAAGUUAUUGUUUUUUUUUUCUGUUUGUAUAUGUUUGUUUGUUAAGUACAUUAUUAUUCUACAGUUAAUUGUGUUUACUCUAAUGUAAAACGUGUAAGCUUAUUUUAUGAAAUGAAUAUUAAUAUAUUUUGGAACAAAUUCUUGUUACUUUCAUUUGGUAGGAAGGCGUUCGAUUAUUAAAUUUUCUUCAUUGAAAAACUACACGAGCAAUAAAGAAAAAAGUUUGUUUUUUUGGUUGAAUUGUCUUGACAUAUGUAAAGCUUUAGUAUAGCGUGGAUGGAUUAAAAAAUGAUUUAGAUCAGAAGUUUAAAUUUCAAGUUGGGAUAUUCUAAAAUGUUAUAUGAAUCUUUUUAUUAUAAUAUCAUAUGUUAUCGUUAUACUUGAGUACGAUUAUAUUUUUCUUUUAUUAAAUAUGAGAUUCUGAGAGAGACACAUACCACAUGAUUUAUGAGGAAAAAGUAAUGUUACAUCAAGGUCCAAAAACUUAGGCAAGGACCAUAUAUGAUUGUAGGUAAGAAUAUUUUUAUUUACAUAAUACAUAAAAGAACAAGUUAAUUUUGGACUUUCUUUUUUUAUAAGAAAAAUACUAGAAGAGGGAUUUUCAAAGUCCACUAUGAAAAGUAGAAAUCAAAGUGUAAAAAAAUUAUUGGAAAGUUGAGGAUAGUGGGGCUAAGUCUAUAAAUAGUUUCUCCCAAAGUUGUUCUCUUG